rnacentral:rRNA from 1 species
ACGAGUGGCGGACGGGUGAGUAACACGUGGGUAACCUGCCCUUAAGUGGGGGAUAACAUUUGGAAAGCAGAUGCUAAUACCGCAUAGAUCACAAGAACCGCAUGGCUUCUUGGCUGAAAGAUGGCGUAUGCUAUCGCUUUUGGAUGGACCCGCGGCGUAUUAGCUAGUUGGUGAGGUAAUGGCUCACCAAGGCGAUGAUACGUAGCCGAACUGACAGGUUGAUCGGCCACAUUGGUGACUGAGACACGGCCCAAACUCCUACGGGCAGGCAGCAGUAGGGAAUCUUCCACAAUGGACGCAAGUCUGAUGGAGCAACGCCUGCGUGAGUGAAGAAGGCUUUCGGGUCGUAAAACUCUGUUGUUGGAGAAGAAUGGUCGGCAGACUAACUGUUGCCGUGCGUGACGGUAUCCAACCAGAAAGCCACGGCUAACUACGUGCCAGCAGCCGCGGUAAUAUGUAAGGUGGGCAAGUCGUUAUCCGGAAUUUAUUGGGCGUAAAGCGAGCCGCAGGCGGUUUUUUUAAGUCUGGAUGUGAAAGCCCCUCGGCUUUAACCGAACGAAGCGCUAUCGGCAAACUGGGUAAACUUUGAGUGCCAAGAGGAAGACAGUGGGACCCUCCAUGUGUAGCGGCUGAAAUGCGUAGAUAUAUGGAAGAACACCAGUGGGCGAAGGCGGCUUGUCCUGGUUCUGUAACUGACCGGCUGGAGGCUUCGAAAGCUAUGGGUUAAGCGAACAAGGAAUUAGAUACCCUGGUGAGUCCAUGCCGGUAAACGAUGAAUGCUAGGUGUUGGAGGGUUUCCGCCCUUCAGUGCCGCAGCUAACGCAUUAAGCAUUCCGCCUGGGGAGUACGACCGCAAGGUUGAAACUCAAAGGAAUUGACGGGGGCCCGCACAAGCGGUGGAGCAUGUGGUUUAAUUCGAAGCAACGCGAAGAACCUUACCAGGUCUUGACAUCUUUUGAUCACCUGAGAGAUCAGGUUUCCCCUUCGGGGGCAAAAUGACAGGUGGUGCAUGGUUGUCGUCAGCUCGUGUCGUGAGAUGUUGGGUUAAGUCCCGCAACGAGCGCAACCCUUAUGACUAGUUGCCAGCAUUUAGUUGGGCACUCUAGUAAGACUGCCGGUGACAAACCGGAGGAAGGUGGGGAUGACGUCAAAUCAUCAUGCCCCUUAUGACCUGGGCUACACACGUGCUACAAUGGAUGGUACAACGAGUUGCGAGACCGCGAGGUCAAGCUAAUCUCUUAAAGCCAUUCUCAGUUCGGACUGUAGGUUGCAACUCGCCUACACGAAGUCGGAAUCGCUAGUAAUCGCGGAUCAGCACGCCGCGGUGAAUACGUUCCCGGGCCUUGUACACACCGCCCGUCACACCAUGAGAGUUUGUAACACCCGAAGCCGGUGGCGUAACCCUUUAGGGAGCGAGCCUC